rnacentral:rRNA from 1 species
AGUGAACGCUGGCGGUAGACCUAACACAUGCAAGUCGAACGGCAGCACAGUAAGAGCUUGCUCUUACGGGUGGCGAGUGGCGGACGGGUGAGGAAUACAUCGGAAUCUACUUUUUCGUGGGGGAUAACGUAGGGAAACUUACGCUAAUACCGCAUACGACCUACGGGUGAAAGCAGGGGAUCUUCGGACCUUGCGCGAUUGAAUGAGCCGAUGUCGGAUUAGCUAGUUGGCGGGGUAAAGGCCCACCAAGGCGACGAUCCGUAGCUGGUCUGAGAGGAUGAUCAGCCACACUGGAACUGAGACACGGUCCAGACUCCUACGGGAGGCAGCAGUGGGGAAUAUUGGACAAUGGGCGCAAGCCUGAUCCAGCCAUACCGCGUGGGUGAAGAAGGCCUUCGGGUUGUAAAGCCCCUUUGUUGGGAAAGAAAAGCAGCAGGUUAAUACCCCGCUGUUCUGACGGUACCCAAAGAAUAAGCACCGGCUAACUUCGUG